CGAAAAAAGAAGGGGUGCUGCACGCAGCGGCUGAGAGAAGGAUAAAUCGGUCCUUUAACCCUGUGACCUGAUCCGGAUAAUGCCGGCGGAGGGAUUCUGUCAAUAGGAUUUG
rfam:Clostridium sp. CAG:169 genomic scaffold, scf141